ACGGGAGGCAGCAGUGGGGAAUGUUGCACAAUGGGGGGAACCCUGAUGCAGCGACGCCGCGUGAGUGAAGAAGUAUCUCGGUAUGUAAAGCUCUAUCAGCAGGGAAGAAAAUGACGGUACCUGACUAAGAAGCCCCGGCUAACUACGUGCCAGCAGCCGCGGUAAUACGUGGGGGGCAAGCGUUAUCCGGAUUUACUGGGUGUAAAGGGAGCGUAGACGGCGAUGCAAGUCUGAAGUGAAAGGCGGGGGCUCAACCCUUGGACUGCUUUGGAAACUGUAUUGCUAGAGUGCAGGAGAGGUAAGUGGAAUUCCUAGUGUAGCGGUGAAAUGCGUAGAUAUUAGGAGGAACACCAGUGGCGAAGGCGGCUUACUGGACUGUAACUGACGUUGAGGCUCGAAAGCGUGGGGAGCAAACAGGAUUAGAUACCCUGGUA
rnacentral:rRNA from 1 species